rnacentral:rRNA from 1 species
AACGUAGGACGCAAGCGUUAUCCGGAGUUACUGGGCGUAAAGCGCGGGCAGGCGGCCUGAUGCGUCUGAUGUGAAAUCUCCUCGCUCAACGGGGAGAGGCCAUUGGAAACGGUCGGGCUGGAGGGCAGUAGAGGUAGGCGGAAUUCCGGGUGGAGUGGUGAAAUGCGUAGAGAUCCGGAGGAACACCAGAGGCGAAGGCGGCCUACUGGGCUGCACCUGACGCUGAGCCGCGAAAGCCAGGGGAGCGAACGGG